rnacentral:lncRNA from 1 species
UUUUUUUUUUUUUUUUUUUUUACUUUUUAGGGCUGCACCUGAGGCAUAAGGAGGUUCCUAGGCAAGGGGUCAAACCGGAAUUAUAGCUGCUGGUCUACACCACAGUGACAGCAACUUGGGAUCUGAGCUGUGUCUGUAACCUACACCACAGCUCAUGGCAACGCCGGAUCCCUAACCCACUGAGCAGGGCCAGGGAUUGAACCUGUGUCCGCAUGGAUGCUAGUCAAAUUCGUUAACUGCUGAGCCAUGAUGGGAACUCCUGCAAAUUUCUGUCUUAAAGAGAACAAAAGUUGUUUUGUCAGGUUCCUGUAGAGAUAAUGUUUAGUGAGGGGAGCAACAGGGUACUCAGUCAUUUCUGCUAUGACAGGUUAAACACAAGGUGCACCGGAAGCCUGUGAAAGGGCUACUAAACCCAGAUUUUGGCGAGGUGAGGGGCAUGUCAGCAGAGAUAUUCCUGAGGAAGUGAUGUCUAAGCUGAACUGGAGGUAGCUCGAGAAGGAAACCUGGAAGUAACAGAGGGAGUAAGGGGAAACGGAGGUAUUUCCAAUUGGUUGAAGAAUGAAGUGUAGGAAGGAGCAGUGAUGACAAAGAAAUAGGAAGACACUGGACCCUGAAGGGCCUUCUACAAAGAGUGACCAUAUAAUUUACUAUACAAACAGAGCCAGUUCUGAGAGUGAAAUGAGACAUUACCACUAAUUAUAUGGGGACAACAGGAGUAAAGCAGGACUGCCCCAAGCAAGUCAAGGACUUAGGGUCACCCUCCUUGUAAGUCAUAUUCAGGUGUUUGGACCUCCAGUGAAAGCAUAAAUUGGGCAUCUUCUCUUUUUAAUAUUUUUGCCUGAGUGGCUCCAUCCAUACCUUUGCCUUUACUUGCUCCUUUUGCAAAUAUUUGUCCAAGAUGCACUUCAGGGUACUGAGGUUACAAAGAAGACACACAACCAAAGAAACGAUUCUGAUACACUUAUACAAUUCCUAGCCUUGGCCUCUCUUCUAAGCUCUAAAUUCAUUUAUGUCAUUUCCAUUCUGAUUGCAAAAAAGAGACCUGAAACUUCCCCUCCACAUCUGUCUCCCUUCAGCUGGUCUUAUAACUGAUGCCACUAUCCACCACGUUGCUGAAGACAGAAGCUCUGAACAGCAUUGCCUUAAUCACUGAUCUCCUGCUCCUCACUGUGAAUUUUAAUUUCUCCAUAUUUUUCUUAAGCACAAUGACUAAAUUGGGGCUUAGAAUUCUAAUGAGGGCCUAACAUCAAUUGAAGAGGAAGGGGGGUAAUUUCUAGAUGUGUGAAUGCUGUUUUUAAUGAAGAGAUUCCAGUACUGUGUGGGACUGUUUUUCCACAGUAGUACAACAUUGAUGACUCAUAUUCAGUUUGUUGACAGUCAUGACGUCCAGAUCUGGAUAUAUGCCCUAGCCUCAUCUCAAAAAAUUUCACUCUAGGUGAGAAAGACAUGAAGAUAAGUCCUAAUUGUUUGACCCCAAUUUCUGUUUGUGGAGAAGGUGAGAGUGGUUGUAAAGGUGUGGGUGAAAUAGCUAUGUUCAUAAACUGUUGAACAAAUUGCUGGACAAUUUAUAUUUUAUUUUCAUUUAUCUAUUUAUUUCUUGUCUUUUUGUCUUUUUAGGGCUGCACCUGCGGUACAUGGAGCACCUAGAACUGGUAUCUACUCAUUAAAAAUUUGAUAAAUGAAAAUAGAUUUCCAGGGUAUAUCAAAUGUAAAACUACUUUAUAUUUUUUGAAUGAAGUAUAGAAAAAUAUCUAGAAGAAUGUAAGGCAAAAUGGUAACCAUUUAACAUGGUAGGAGCUGGUUUUCAUUUUUUGUUCAUGCAAAUAUUCUUUUUUUUUUAGAACGAACUUGUAUGACUAAGAAAUGAAUAAAAAGGCCACACAGGCAGGUGUAAAUGAUUUCUCUAAGAGGUUGGGCAAAUUGAUGGAAGAAAGACUUCUAAAUAGAUGCAUGAGCAUAAUGGCUAAGACAAACCACUGUUUGAAUGCCCUUCCCCAACACCAUCUAGCUGUGUGAACCCAAGUUAUUUACAAGGUAGAGUCUAAAGGUCUUCACCUGGAAAAUGGGGAUGAUAAUAUUACAAGUGUCUUUUCCAUAAGGUUAUUUUUGAAGAUUAAAUGAGACCAUGUAUGUAAACUCCUUUGUACAAUGCCUGGCAUGCAAUAAAUACUCGACAAAUGGCAGCUAUCAUAAUAAUAAUAAUUAGCAGUAGUAACAAGAGAUGUUGGGACAUACCUAGCCCUCAAGACUGACAUCAGAGUGGACCACCACAUCCUCUCAUCAUCGCGCCUCAAUUUGGGCACCUAAAGCCCAAAGAGAGGAUGGUUUUUCCAAAGAAGAUAAUUUCGACGUUCCAGAAGCAUCUGAAUCAAACGUACCCCAUGUACCC